UGUAAUCCCAGCACCUUGGGAGGCCGAGGCGGGUGGAUCACAAGGUCAGGAGAUCGAGACCAUCCUGGCUAACACGGUGAAACCGUGUCUCUACUAAAAAUACAAAAAAUUAUCAGGGUGUGGUGGCAGGCGCCUGUAGUCCCAGCUACUCGGGAGGCUGAGGCAGGAGAAUGGCAUGAACCCGGGAGGCGGAGCUUGCAGUGAGCUGAGAUCACGCCACUGCACUCCCACCUGGGCCACAAAGCGAGACUCCGUCUCAAAAAAAAAAAAA
rnacentral:lncRNA from 1 species